UGUCUGUAUAACUCCAAUGAAAUCCUUAGUGCAUAACAUGUUGAAGAUGUUAAGUUUUUGCAUUGACAACCUAUUGUAUUUUCUUGAUUCUGCACUAACGGUGAUGGCAUUACAUGAUAUUUUGCAGUUAUUUUAAAUUAAAAAACAACAACAUAUUUUUAUCACCAUUUUAAUUACUUCCAACUAAUGAAAGUAAUUAUUCAUGUGUUGACUUUUGGACUCAAGAGUCUUGAUACUAGGUAAUUUUCACUUCGCCUUAUUAGUUACAUGUAUGUUGAAAGUGCUCUUUUUUUUUUAGAUCACAAUAUUUUGUUUUCAAUGUUUACAAGAACUGUUAUAUUUUUGUACACUCUGUUAUGUUUCAUUCUAAAUUUAAUAAAAUAUAAAAAGC
rnacentral:misc_RNA from 1 species